rnacentral:tRNA from 1 species
GGCCUUAUAUUCAAUGAUGAUUAUAGACUGCAAUUCUGGAGGUGUAAGUUUAAUUACUAAGGCCU